rnacentral:lncRNA from 1 species
UCGCGUUAAGUUUUCAUCUUGAUCCUACGCCUUUGAAUCAACAUAUUUGGCCCUACUCAGCCUUCAAAGCUCAAUUAUGCUUCAUUUACGCUCCAACUCUAUCAAACUUCAUCCUGCGCUUCAAAAUAGAUGACAUAAUAAGUGUAAUUCACACCAAAUAAGCUCAAAACGAUAAUAAAAGAAAGAGCAAAUAUAAGGCGAAUGAUGGUAUAAAGGCAUGCAGUGGCGGAUCCACCUUGUAAUCAGGGAGGUCAUUCGAAUCCCCUUCGAUGGAAAAUUAUAUUAUUUUUAUACGGUCAGAAAUAUUUUUAUGUAUAUAUAGUAGAUAUUGAACCUCCUUCGAUUAGUCUGUAUGUUUACUUCUGACCCCUCAAUGAAAAUCCUGACUCCGCCACUGAAGGCAUGCCUUUGUACUUCACAUCAUAGUUAAGAUUAUGUACAAUUUAUAUUAUUUAGAUAUUAAUCACUUAUGUUGAAACGAGAAUUUUCUUUUACACAUUUACUAUAAACUAGUCAAGUGUACGUGUUUUGCACGUGUGUCACGUUAAUUAAUACUAAUAAAGCUAUGAGAAGAAGCAUGUAUGUCACAUUAAUUAAUACUAAUAAAGCUAUGAUAAGAAAUUAAAAUAGUACAAAAUUAAAUUGUAUAAACGUAAUAUUAAAUUACCUUCAUAUAAAUCAAUACCAUACCUUCAUAUAAAUCAAUACCACAAUCUCUGACUAUAUGAACAUUUUCAUAUCGUGUAUAUAGAUGAACACUUUUUAUCGGUUAACUCAAAAAUCUAACCGUUAAGGACCCACAUUGAAAAAAAAUAUCUUAUUGAUUUGGUUAUCGAUUUAGUACAACAACAACAUACCCACUGUAUUCCCACCAAGCGGUGGUUAUCGAUUUAAUAUGUUUAGAAACUAAAAACUAAUAAAACGAACCGAUAAUGCAUAAUACCGAACUAUAUAUAAAUCAACCGAUGAUGGAAUAUCUUAGAAAGGAGUAAUACUUAUGGCAACAAAAAAAUGAAUCGUCAUUCUCAUAAUAUAAAUUUAAAUUUGUAAGUAAGAUAAACAUUUGAUUUUGACUGCUAUGUCAUUCGGCGGCAACAAGCUUGUCUUGUCCAAUUAACACAAGAAACCAUUAAAAGGGGAUAAGCCAAUAUUGUCAAUUGUUGUUUACGUAUAAUUCAUAUACAAUCUUUAAACUUAGCAGUAAUGAUAAUGAAUAUAUGAAAGAAGACUUCAAUCAUAAUCAAAAUAACAAGGAAAGUAUAAUAGAAGAAUUGGUGGCUUUUCUUUGUUAAAGUUUGAUCAAAGCAUUAUUUAAAUAAAAUUGUAGAAUUUUUUUUUUAUAAUAUAUAUAAAAUAAAAUUCUAAUUGAUUUAGAAGUCCAAAAUAUUUUCUAUAAAAAAAAUUAUCUAAAUAUAAUAGAUUUUUAUUUUUAUUUCGUAAAUUAUCUAUGAAUAGUAAAAUAAUAUGGAUUCCAAUAUAAACUCACUUUUUUUUUUCUUUUUGUUUACUUUUUUUUUCAAGACGUGUUACUUUUUUGUUUCAACUUUGUAUGUUAUCUUUUAUAUAAAUAAAAUGGCCACAAAAAAAAAAUAAGUAAAACUAACUAUAUUUAAAAGGGAUACUUAUGAUUACCCAUGUUUAAAUAUAUUUACUUUUUAUAUUAAAAAGGUAUUACUUAUCAAAAAAAUAUAUUUAUUUUCCGUAAGCAAUGAAUAUAAAAGAUUUAGUACAUAUAAGCUCUAAAUAUUAAUGUCAUAAUUAAAUAUUUAUUUUUAAAUUCUUAAAUGUGUUCUAUACGUAUAUCUCGAGUCAAUUAAUAAAAAAAUAUACAAAAAAUAAAAUUAUUAAGAAAUAUCAAUUAACUUUAAAAUAAAUAAAUUCAUGAAAUGACUCUAACUUUGACUUACAUACAAAGAAAAAACGAAAAAAACAGAGAGUAAAAAGGAGGUAUAUCCCAAUUUUGAAUAAAAAAACAUGCUUGUAGGUUGCAAAGCAUCAUUUAUUCUAGAAAGUUAUUUAAUUGACAAUGAAAACUAAAAUUACCCCUGGAAAGUACCUCUGUAAAGAGUGUUUGAUCGUAUUUUGUAUGUAUGAUAACAAUUGGAACCUGUAUUCAAAAAAAUAAAAAAAUCAUUGAAGUAUAUGGAUAAACAUAAUGAUGAUAUGCUAAAUCUCAUGAUUUAUUUUCAAUUAAAAUAAUUUCAUAUAAGCAAAAAUUUAAAAGGAACUUCAUAUAACGAAGAAGGCUAAGAAACUUAGAAAAUAUAGAAGUAGAAGAUAUUUUCCCGUAAAAUUUGAUCAAAUAACUACUUAAAUAGAAUUGUAGACAUUUUUUUUUAUACUAGUUUAACCGCACGUGCCUUGCACGUGUAACAUUAAUUAUUUAAAAUUAGUAAAUUUUAUCUAUUGUGAAGAUGUUUAAUAAAGUGCAAAAAAUUCAAAUCACUUCUCAAAGGUCCUUCACACUUUAAUAUAUAAUAAUAUAAACAUAACACAUAUUUUAUUGUAAACACAUAUAUAGUUUACCAUCAAUUUUUAAGUGGUUAAUUGAUUGUCAUUUUUACAAUUGUCAUGCAAUACCUCCUUUACUUGCUGCUAGAGACUAAGAGAGACACAUCAAUUUGAAUCAUAUUUGUAGUACGGUUAUUUUUUUCUAUAUUUAAAAUCUUUUCUUAUUUUCAAAGUUAAAUCUUUGAUUAUUUAAUUUAAAAUUUUAAAAAAUCGUAUUUCUUAUAUUUUUCUCAUUCUAAAGUUUUCAUAUUUAUUUCUAGAUUUUUCAAAUCUUCUUAAAAUCAAUUUUCGUUGAUUUAGAAUUCUUAAACUAAUGAAAAAAGGUAUUCGUUGUCAUUAAUUCUGAUGAUUUCUAAUAAGAAAGGAUUUUACCAUAAAUAUACUUAAUUAAUUUUUAACUUUAAUUUUAAAUAUUAUAAAAAAUAGUAAAAAGACGAUUUUGUCUAAAGUAAAAAUUUUUAGUGAAGGGCAAAAAGAUCAAACGAUAAUUUUAAGGCCCUUCACACUUUUAAUAUAUUAUAGAUUAUAGAUUAUAGAUUAUAGAUUAUAGAUUACAGAUUAUAGAUAUAGAUAUAGAUUGUAGAUUAUAGAUAUAAAUUGUAGAUUAUAGAUUAUAGAUUAUUCAUUAUAGAUUAUAGAUUAUCGAUAUAGAUUAUAGAUUAUAGAUUAUAGAUCAUCGAUAUAGAUUAUAGAUAUAGAUAUAAAUUAUAGAUAGAUAGAUUAUAGAUAUAGAUAUAGAUACGCAUAUAGCUAUACAUAUAUAUACACACAUAAAUAGAUAUACACACACAUAUAUACAUAUACAUACAUAGUUUCUACUUAAAUGGGUUGCACAAAUAUUCUUUAUCAGUUAUUAUAAUAAUUACGAUAGCUCAAUAUACUUUACUAAUUGCAUGUGGUUACAUCAUAUGUAAAUUUAACAUAAUUAUAUAUCGUUAAAAACUUUAUGCUCUAGACAACGAAAUGGUUCUCUCAUUAUAAGAAUUUAUACUACACAUUAAGCAGCUGACAAAGAGAGAACUAAGCUAAGCAAUGGGGCUAUGGAACCCUUGAGCCAUGUUUUAUUGACCUUCUGAUUGUUACACCUCGAUCAACCAUAUAGCAUGUCCUUACUUUAAUUUAAUUGUUUCCAAGAAGUAAUAGGUAGGCCGAUUUAAACAUGGUAGCUUAUACUCUUCAAUUAAGUAGCUAGUUUGGGAAUUGAAAUCCUAAAGCAUUAGUUGUUUGGAAUUUAAUUAUACACAUAGAUAAUAUUUUUCAAGACAAAAACUAAAUCUUUAAAUUAAAAUUCUUUAAUGGAUCGCCACUUUGUGUUUGUCAUGCAAUACCUUUUUUCUUUGUUGCUAGAGGCUAUGAGAUAUGCAUCACAAAGUUUAUUCAUCUAUUAUUAAAUUAUAGAUUCCAUCGAUACCUCAAGCAUACAAAAUAUCUAAAAGGGGAAAAAAGAGAAAAUAUAUUCAAAAUUAACAACAGAAUAUAUGUAAUCCAAAUACAAAUUUAAUAGUAAUAUAGAAGAUAAUAUGGUCAUAUAAAAAACAAACACAUCAUUAAGUAUUCCACAAAAAUAAUAAAACUAAGCAAAAAGUUGAAAGCUAACGUCGAAGUUGAAAGAAUCCUCUUAUUAUUAGUCACCCAACAAACAACAUCUUCUCCGAUCUCCAUCACAAAAUUUAUUCAUCUAUUAUUGAACUAUAGAUUUCAUUGAUAUCUCAAGAAUACAAAAUAUCUAAAAAGUAUAUAUAUAUAUUCAACACAAAAUUUGAUUUCAUUGAAUUAUAUUUAAUUUUCGAAUUCAUCUUAGUCUACUCCCAAACUGCGACAAAUAAUAGUUGAAAAAAAUGCUAAGUUAGACGGAAGAAAGAAUAUAAAAUAACAAUUAUUGAUCUCAAAGAACUAUGGCAGCAGCUAGAUCUUAGUAGCUAGAUCUUAUUUACGCAUGAUGAAUUAUUAUCAAGAAAUUUGUCUCAUAAUUUAGUAGGAACAGGUUGGAAACUUAUAUGCCUAUGUAGAAAUAAGUGCGCGACCUACAUGAGUUGUGGUGCAGUGGAUGGGGCUGCUCCAUCAUUAACCAGUGUUUGAGGGUUCGACCUUGGGUAUGGAGAAAACUCUGUUGGGAGCGCUGUCACCUUAAUGAGCCCUGCAACGCGCGAUCCGAAUUAAUCGGGGCUCCAAUGCGGACACCAAACACCGGAUGAGAAACCAAAAAAAGAAAUAAGUGCGCGAUUUCAAGAGCUUUUAGUUUUGGAGAAGCUCUUAUUGAAACAAAAUAGAAUGGAGAAUAUAAUUAGAGUGUCAGGAAAACAAUAGCUAACAUCUUGCUGCUACAAAAAUUUGAACGCCGAUUAU